rnacentral:tRNA from 1 species
GGAAUGUUACCCAAGUCUGGUGAAGGGGACUGUUUGCUAAACAGUUAGGAGCAGUAAUGUUCGCAGAGGUUCAAAUCCUCUACAUUCCGCCA